rnacentral:tRNA from 1 species
GCGGAUGUGGCGGAAUCGGCAGACGCGCUGGCUUCAGGUGCCAGUCCUCGCAAGGGGGUAUGGGUUCAAGUCCCUUCAUCCGCACCA